rnacentral:rRNA from 1 species
GGCUGAAAUUCGCCUUCAUGAAGCUGGAAUUGCUAGUAAUGGCAGGUCAGCAUACUGCCGUGAAUACGUUCCCGGGCCUUGUACACACCGCCCGUCACACCAUGAGAGUUGGGAAUACCCGAAGCCUGUGAGCUAACUUAUAAGAGGCAGCAGUCGAAGGUAGAAUCAAUGAUUGGGGUGAAGUCGUAACAAGGUACC